rnacentral:rRNA from 1 species
GAUGAACGCUGGCGGCGUGCCUAAUACAUGCAAGUCGAGCGAACGGACGAGAAGCUUGCUUCUCUGAUGUUAGCGGCGGACGGGUGAGUAACACGUGGAUAACCUACCUAUAAGACUGGGAUAACUUCGGGAAACCGGAGCUAAUACCGGAUGAUAUUUUGAACCGCAUGGUUCAAAAGUGAAAGACGGUCUUGCUGUCACUUAUAGAUGGAUCCGCGCUGCAUUAGCUAGUUGGUAAGGUAACGGCUUACCAAGGCAACGAUGCAUAGCCGACCUGAGAGGGUGAUCGGCCACACUGGAACUGAGACACGGUCCAGACUCCUACGGGAGGCAGCAGUAGGGAAUCUUCCGCAAUGGGCGAAAGCCUGACGGAGCAACGCCGCGUGAGUGAUGAAGGUCUUCGGAUCGUAAAACUCUGUUAUUAGGGAAGAACAUAUGUGUAAGUAACUGUGCACAUCUUGACGGUACCUAAUCAGAAAGCCACGGCUACUACGUG